rnacentral:rRNA from 1 species
UGCAGUCNNCGCUUUGUGGUUCAACUGAUUUGAAGAGCUUGCUCNNAUNUGACGAUGGACAUUGCAAAGAGUGGCGAACGGGUGAGUAACACGUGGGAAACCUACCUCUUAGCAGGGGAUAACAUUUGGAAACAGAUGCUAAUACCGUAUAACAAUGACAACCGCAUGGUUGUUAUUUAAAAGAUGGUUCUGCUAUCACUAAGAGAUGGUCCCGCGGUGCAUUAGCUAGUUGGUAAGGUAAUGGCUUACCAAGGCGAUGAUGCAUAGCCGAGUUGAGAGACUGAUCGGCCACAAUGGGACUGAGACACGGCCCAUACUCCUACGGGAGGCAGCAGUAGGGAAUCUUCCACAAUGGGCGAAAGCCUGAUGGAGCAACGCCGCGUGUGUGAUGAAGGGUUUCGGCUCGUAAAACACUGUUGUAAGAGAAGAAUGACAUUGAGAGUAACUGUUCAAUGUGUGACGGUAUCUUACCAGAAAGGAACGGCUAAAUACGUGCCAGCAGCCGCGGUAAUACGUAUGUUCCAAGCG